GACGAACGCUGGCGGCGUGCUUAACACAUGCAAGUCGUACGGUAAGGCCCUUUCGGGUGUACACGAGUGGCGAACGGGUGAGUAACACGCGAGUAACCUGCCCACCACUCUUGGAUAUCGCUAGGAAACUGGGGCUAAUAUUGGAUAUGUGCUCCUGCUGCAUGGUGGGGGUUGGAAAGCUCCUGCGGUUGUGGAUGGACUCGCGGCCUAUCAGCUUGUUGGUGGGGUAGUGGCCUACCAAGGCGGCGACGGGUAGCCGGCCUGAGAGGGUGACCGGCCACAAUGGGACUGAGAUUCGGGCCAAGAUCCUACCGGGGGGAAGAGGGGGGGAAAUUUGCCAAUGGGCGCAAAGCUGAUGCAGCAGCGCCGCGGGGGGGAUGACCGGCCUCGGGUUGUAAACCGCUUUCAGCAGGGACGGAGCUUUUUGUGACGGUACCUGCAGAAGAAGCACCGGCUAACUACGUG
rnacentral:rRNA from 1 species